rnacentral:rRNA from 1 species
UACGUAGGCAGCGAGCGUUGUUCGGAAUUACUGGGCGUAAAGAGUGUGUAGGCGGUGUUCCCAGUCUGUUGUGAAAUCUCCCGGCUUAACUGGGAGGGUGCAGCGGAAACUAGAAUGCUAGAGGGUGGGAGAGGUAAGCGAAUUCCUGGUGUAGCGGUGAAAUGCGUAGAUAUCUGGAGGAACACCGGUGGCGAAGGCGGCAUCCUGGACCGACACUGACGCUGAGGAGCGAAAGCCAGGGGAGCAAACGGG